UACGUAGGGUGCGAGCGUUGUCCGGAAUUAUUGGGCGUAAAGAGCGUGUAGGCGGUCCGGUAAGUCGGUUGUGAAAGUCCAGGGCUCAACCCUGGGAUGCCGACCGAUACUGUCAUGACUAGAGUCCGGUAGGGGGAGCGUGGAAUUCCUGGUGUAGCGGUGAAAUGCGCAGAUAUCAGGAAGAACACCAAUGGCGAAAGCAGCUUUCUGGGACGGUACUGACGCUGAGACGCGAAAGCGUGGGGAGCGAACAGG
rnacentral:rRNA from 1 species